CGUAAACAGAGGGAAGCGAGCCUGCGAGGGGGAGCGAAUCCCAAAAAUAACGUCCCAGUUCGGAUUGUAGUCUGCAACCCGACUACAUGAAGCUGGAAUCGCUAGUAAUCGCGGAUCAGAAUGCCGCGGUGAAUACGUUCCCGGGUCUUGUACACACCGCCCGUCACACCAUGGGAGUCGGAAAUGCCCGAAGUCUGUGACCCAACCGAAAGGAGGGAGCAGCCGAAGGCAGGUCGGAUGACUGGGGUGAAGUCGUAACAAGGUACC
rnacentral:rRNA from 1 species